CCUACGGGUGGCAGCAGUGAGGAAUAUUGGUCAAUGGACGCAAGUCUGAACCAGCCAUGCCGCGUGCAGGAAGACGGCUCUCUGGGUUGUAAACUGUUUUUGUACGAGGGUAAACGCAGAUACGCGUAUCUGUCUGAAAGUAUCGUACGAAUAAGGAUCGGCUAACUCCGUGCCAGCAGCCGCGGGAAUACGGAGGAUUCAAGCGUUAUCCGGAUUUAGUGGGUGUAUAGGGUGCGUAGGCGGUUGGACAAGUUAGAGGUGCAAUGCCGAGGCUCAACUUCGGAAUUGCCUCUGAUACUGUUCGGCUAGAGUGUAGUAGCGGCAGGCGGAAUGUAUGGUGUAGCGGUGAAAUGCGUAGAUAUCA
rnacentral:rRNA from 1 species